rnacentral:piRNA from 1 species
UUAAAGUGACUGCCGAUAAGUUUGGGAUCA